rnacentral:rRNA from 1 species
GCAUUAGACCCGAAACCGAGUGAUCUAGCCAUGGGCAGGUUGAAGGUUGAGUAACAUCAACUGGAGGACCGAACUCACUAACGUUGAAAAGUUAGGAGAUGACCUGUGGCUAGGGGUGAAAGGCCAAUCAAACUCGGAGAUAGCUGGUUCUCCCCGAAAGCUAUUUAGGUAGCGCCUCGGACGAAUACUACUGGGGGUAGAGCACUGUUAAGGCUAGGGGGUCAUCCCGACUUACCAACCCUUUGCAAACUCCGAAUACCAGUAAGUACUAUCCGGGAGACACACGGCGGGUGCUAACGUCCGUCGUGGAGAGGGAAACAACCCAGACCGCCAGCUAAGGUCCCAAAGUUAUCGCUAAGUGGGAAACGAUGUGGGAAGGCUCAGACAGCCAGGAUGUUGGCUUAGAAGCAGCCAUCAUUUAAAGAAAGCGUAAUAGCUCACUGGUCGAGUCGGCCUGCGCGGAAGAUGUAACGGGGCUAAGCGAUACACCGAAGCUGCGGCAAUGUCCUUAUGGAUAUUGGGUAGGGGAGCGUUGUGUAAGCCGUUGAAGGUGUGCUGAGAGGCAUGCUGGAGGUAUCACAAGUGCGAAUGCUGACAUGAGUAACGAUAAAGGGGGUGAAAAACCUCCUCGCCGGAAGACCAAGGGUUCCUGUCCAACGUUAAUCGGGGCAGGGUAAGUCGGCCCCUAAGGCGAGGCCGAAAGGCGUAGUCGAUGGGAAACGGGUUAAUAUUCCCGUACUGCUACUUACUGCGAUGGGGGGACGGAGAAGGCUAGGUGGGCCUGGCGAUGGUUGUCCAGGUUCAAGUGCGUAGGCUGAUUUCUUAGGCAAAUCCGGGAAAUCAAGGCCGAGACACGAUGUCGAGCCACCAAGGUGGUGAAGUCAUUGAUGCCAUGCUUCCGGGAAAAGCCUCUAAGCUUCAGGUAAGUAGCAACCGUACUCCAAACCGACACAGGUGGUCGGGUAGAGAAUACCAAGGCGCUUGAGAGAACUCGGGUGAAGGAACUAGGCAAAAUGGUACCGUAACUUCGGGAGAAGGUACGCUGCCCGCGGUGAAGUCCCUAGCGGAUGGAGCUAUGGGCAGUCGCAGAUACCAGGUGGCUGCAACUGUUUAUUAAAAACACAGCACUGUGCAAAAUCGAAAGAUGACGUAUACGGUGUGACGCCUGCCCGGUGCCGGAAGGUUAAUUGAUGUGGUUAUCGCAAGAGAAGCCAUUGAUUGAAGCCCCGGUAAACGGCGGCCGUAACUAUAACGGUCCUAAGGUAGCGAAAUUCCUUGUCGGGUAAGUUCCGACCUGCACGAAUGGCGUAAUGAUGGCCACGCUGUCUCCACCCGAGACUCAGUGAAAUUGAAAUCGCAGUGAAGAUGCUGUGUACCCGCGGCUAGACGGAAAGACCCCGUGAACCUUUACUACAGCUUGGCACUGAACAUUGAGCCUACAUGUGUAGGAUAGGUGGGAGGCUUUGAAGCGGCGACGCCAGUUGCUGUGGAGCCAUCCUUGAAAUACCACCCUUGUAUGUUUGAUGUUCUAACUUAGCCCCGUUAUCCGGGGUGAGGACAGUGCCUGGUGGGUAGUUUGACUGGGGCGGUCUCCUCCCAAAGUGUAACGGAGGAGCACGAAGGUGGGCUAAUCACGGUCGGACAUCGUGAGGUUAGUGCAAUGGCAUAAGCCCGCUUAACUGCGAGAGUGACGGCUCGAGCAGGUACGAAAGUAGGUCAUAGUGAUCCGGUGGUUCUGAAUGGAAGGGCCAUCGCUCAACGGAUAAAAGGUACUCCGGGGAUAACAGGCUGAUACCGCCCAAGAGUUCAUAUCGACGGCGGUGUUUGGCACCUCGAUGUCGGCUCAUCACAUCCUGGGGCUGAAGUCGGUCCCAAGGGUAUGGCUGUUCGCCAUUUAAAGUGGUACGCGAGCUGGGUUUAGAACGUCGUGAGACAGUUCGGUCCCUAUCUGCCGUGGGCGUUGGAUGAUUGAGGGGAGCUGCUCCUAGUACGAGAGGACCGGAGUGGACGAACCGCUGGUGUUCGGGUUGUGUCGCCAGACGCAUUGCCCGGUAGCUAAGUUCGGCACAGAUAAGCGCUGAAAGCAUCUAAGCGCGAAGCUGGCCCCGAGAUGAGUCAUCCCUAGAGC